GCCAAACGCCGGAAAAUCUUUGGGCAGAUGUGUUUUGAGAAGGGGGACGGAGAAGGCUAACCAGGCCAGAUGUUGGUUACUGGUUCAAGCGUUCGAGGCUUUGAGAGAUGGAGAAAACAUCUUGAGCUAAGGCGUGAGUACGAGCUGCUACGGCAGCGAAGUUGGUGAUGUCAUGCUUCCAAGAAAAGCCCUAUACUCGUUAAGACACAAAUGCCAGUACCCGAAACCGACACAGGUGGGGUGGUAGAGAAUACCGAGGGGCGCGAGAUAACUCUCUCUAAGGAACUCGGCAAAAUGGUCCCGUAACUUCGGGAGAAGGGAUGCCAGCGCAAGCUGGUCGCAGUGAAGAGGCCCAGGCGACUGUUUACCAAAAACACAGGUCUCCGCUAAGUCGCAAGACGAUGUAUGGGGGCUGACACCUGCCCAGUGCCGGAAGGUUAAGGAAGCUGGUUAGCGUAAGCGAAGCUAGUGACUGAAGCCCCGGUGAACGGCGGCCGUAACUAUAACGGUCCUAAGGUAGCGAAAUUCCUUGUC
rnacentral:rRNA from 1 species